rnacentral:rRNA from 1 species
GGUGAGUAAUGUAUCGGAACGUACCUUUCAGUGGGGGAUAACGUAGCGAAAGUUACGCUAAUACCGCAUAUUCUGUGAGCAGGAAAGCAGGGGAUCGCAAGACCUUGCGCUGAUUGAGCGGCCGAUAUCAGAUUAGCUAGUUGGUGAGGUAAAGGCUCACCAAGGCGACGAUCUGUAGCGGGUCUGAGAGGAUGAUCCGCCACACUGGAACUGAGACACGGUCCAGACUCCUACGGGAGGCAGCAGUGGGGAAUUUUGGACAGUGGGGGCAACCCUGAUCCAGCCAUGCCGCGUGAGUGAAGAAGGCCUUCGGGUUGUAAAGCUCUUUCGUCCGGGAAGAAAUCGCAUCAGCUAAUACCUGGUGUGGAUGACGGUACCGGAAUAAGAGCACCGGCUA